GCUCAAUAAUUCAUCAUGUGCCUUCCUUAAUGCACAUUACCCAGUUAUCCCAUACCCCCCACCAACCUCUCCUCCAGCAACCCUUGGUUUGUUUCCUAUAGUUAAGAAUCUCAUGGUUUGUCUCCC